CAAACACCCACCUCCCUACGCAGCGCCGCCUCCCUCUUUCUCCCUCUACCAGAUCCAGGUCGAGGCCACCGCCACCUCUGGUGCCACACCCCUCGCGCCUCUCCUCUUCCUCCACCUCUGUUGCUGCCGGCUCCUACCCAGUCCUCGCCCUCCGGUGCCUCCCCAUCCUUCGCGGCCGUACGCACCAAGGCUGAGGCGGUGACGGGCUCAUAGGCCAACGACGCGUCGGGCCGACGCACAUCCAGGGUCGCGCAGGCGCAGCACGAGCCACUUCUUCUUGCCCUCGUCCCGUGGCGUGGGAGAGGAUGAGGAGGAGCCCUCGUCGCGUGGGGAUCUGUGGCACGCGUGCGCGGGGCCGGGCAUGGCGCUGACCAGGCAUGGGAGCGUAGUCGUCUCGCUCCCGCAGGCGCACCCGUGGCCGACGGCGGGGAUGCGUGAGUGUGUAGGACGCGGCGGGUGGCGACAAUCACCCAUCGCCUCCUCCCUCCUACACCCCGCCAGAUCUCACGGUCCAAGCUAACAAGAGCGACUACAACAACGUGAUGGGUGCUCUUCUCUACCUCAAAGUAAACAAGAAAGCAGGCUGAGAUCUACCAGGUCUCAUGUACGCAUGGCUCGCGCUGGUUGCGGAGGCCGAGGUGAGGGCCGCUGCCUGAAUCUCUGACUGUCAGUCGCUCGCCGUUACAUUGCACGCAUUGUGGGCAGUGGGCUGCUCCGAAUUCGAUUUGGGGAUCUGCGCAGGCUUGUGGUGAAGAACUGCAAGGCCGAGUAGUACCCCAACAAGCCCAAGCGCACCUCAAGCACCUCAAGCUAUGUUGCAGG